GUAGGUGGCAAGCGUUGUCCGGAAUUAUUGGGCGUAAAGCGCGCGCAGGCGGUUCUUUUAAGUCUGAUGUGAAAGCCCACGGGCUCAACCGUGGAGGGUCAUUGGAAACUGGAGAACUUGAGUACAGAAGAGGAAAGCGGAAUUCCACGUGUAGCGGUGAAAUGCGUAGAGAUGUGGAGGAACACCAGUGGCGAAGGCGGCUUUCUGGUCUGUAACUGACGCUGAGGCGCGAAAGCGUGGGGAGCAAACAGGAUUAGAUACCCUGGUAGUCCACGCCCGUAAACGAUGAGUGCUAAGUGUUAGGGGGUUUCCGCCCCCUUAGUGCUGCAGCUAACGCAUUAAGCACUCCGCCUGGGGAGUACGGCCGCAAGGCUG
rnacentral:rRNA from 1 species